rnacentral:lncRNA from 1 species
AUGGAGGAAGAGCGGCCUCUUCUGGAAGAGGGGUCCUGUGUGGACAGAGGGUGCCAUGUGGGAGAGCAGGGCAGACCUGGGGCCGGGGCGCAGCAGGGAGACCUGUUGGAGCUGACCCAGAGGAGAGAGCCAAGGAGGAGUAGCCACGUCUCAAAGGUGCGGAGGCUGGAGACCGGCAGCCAUCAAGGAGGGGACUCUGAGGGUCGACCUCACCUAGAAACAGCUGCUUCAUUCCCUUGCUUCCUUCACAGGCCAGCCGAGGAGCAUCAGACAAAACCUCCUCCACCGCAUCGCACGGGUCUCCAGCCUUCCAAACAUGAUGGGUCUGCCCGAACAGCCCCUCCUUCCUUUCCCAUUCAGCCAAGCCCACAGUCUCCAUUUUGUUUCUCAUCGCGUCCACCUCUGGCCACCAAAGUCUGCUUCAGCCAGGAUUCCAUUCAGCGGCUCCUAACAGCAGCCCCCUUUGCACAGUCAGAGCCCCGGGCAGGGCUGGGUCUGCACUGGACACUGACCAUCCCCACUGGUGCCCCCAGUCACUGGGGACCCUCCCAGGGAGGAGGACGGGCCCUUGGAAGGGCCCCAGCGGGAGGGUGUGGGGGGGUGGACUUUCCACUUUCACCAGGGGGUGAGGUUUCAAAAACCACAUCGGGGGACUGACCCCCUAGACUCCCCAUCAAGGGAGGAGGUGGCUGGCUUUCAAUUCCCCACCGCUGCUCAGGACAGGCCUCUGCACCCGAGGCCACGACCCUGAGGGACAGCCCACAUUCAAGGAUGGUCCAGGCUGCAGCAGAAGGUCCUGACGCUUCUCAGCUCGAAAGGGCCUUCGAGCUCUAGAGCCCUCUGCCAAGCUGAACGGGGCUGCCCUGGGCCUGGGCUCCGCUGAACAACUUCUGCCGAAUCCUGCUCCCCUCCACUCCCUUUCCUGGGGCUUGGUUUCCAGAGGCACCCCGGAUACAGCCCCAGCUCAUUGGUGCCACCUCGGGUCAGCUUCCCAGGGGGCCCAGCCUGGGACUCCAAGAUGUAGCUCAUGCAUCCCUGGAGAGUGCUGGAUGCUCUCAGGGACGACUCCGGAGGAACAGCCAAGACCCGAAGGCAGACAGGGGGGAGCACGAGGGCCGCCCCAGGGUCCAGAGCGGUGAAGACCCCCCAGUGUCCAGGGAGGACAGGUCCCGGGGCCCAGGGUGCAGCCGGGGGAGAGGACGGGACGGGUGGCCGGGGNNNNNNNNNNNNNNNNNNNNNNNNNNNNNNNNNNNNNNNNNNNNNNNNNNNNNNNNNNNNNNNNNNNNNNNNNNNNNNNNNNNNNNNNNNNNNNNNNNNNGCCCCGCCCACCCGCGGCUGCUGGGGCAGCCCUCCAAACCCGGAGAAUCGGGACAACCCUGUCCGCAUGCAGGAAGGAGACACACAGGCCGGCUGCCCAGGAGGCGGUGCUGGACACGGCAUUUCGGUCAUCAGGUGUCUGAACAGCCAUGCCAUCUGGAGAGACGUGGCAAACCAUCACCCCCACCUGCUUGGACCCCAGCCCCUGGGCUGUAGGAGCCCCUUGGCCGCCUGAGGUCCUAGGAGCCUGUGAACACAGCCGUCGCAUUACAAAUGCCCAAACCCCCGUCUCUGUGUAGCCGCCGUGUCCUGAAUCCAGGAGACUCUGCCGGGGGACCGAGACCGCAGCAUGCUCGGGCAGCAGAGCAGGGGUGGCAAAGGCUUGGCCCCUCCAGCUGGGGCAGAAGAUAGGCAGCUGAGAGGGGCUUCAGGGUCACCGUGGAGGCGAGGGGGCCCUCAAGGGCUCAGAGGAGCUGAACUUGGAGGUGGAGGCUGGGAACAGGGGCGUGGGGGAGGCUGGUCUCUCCUGAGUUCACCCUGGGAUGCUCCAUCAGGGCCGGCAGGGCCAGAGGAACAGAGCAGAAUGCCUCCCGCCAAGAGCCAGGGAGACAUGGGGAGGCAACUCCUGCCUCGGCCUCUCCACUGUUUUCUUAUCUCCAUUCCUUAGAACAAGCUGUGUCCCCCACUGUGAGGCUUUGGAAGGCUCGCUCUCCCACCACCCUUUCUUAGAUAAUAAGCAGGCUAGAUAAGCACCAAUCCAGGGCUCCUCAGGAAGUCCCAGAACUUGUUCAGGGGCCCAGACUCUUUCUGUCUCUAGGAUCCCAGGCGUAUGUUCUCUCCUGAUGGUCACAGGAUGGCUGCCAGGACACCAGGCAUCAAGUCGCCAUUCCAGGCAGGAGGGAAGAGAACAGGCUAAGUAACAAAAGAUGUUCCCAAAGCCCCACCCAGGAAUUCCACUCACAUUCUCAUGGCCAGCCCUGAGUCACGUGGCGACCACAUGGCAACCAAGCCUGAGAGGUCUGCAUUUUAUCCAGACAUGAUGCGCACCCCCUCCAACACAAAACCAGGGUUCUGCCUGAUGUAAAGAGAGAAGGGAAUAUUGGGUAGGGGACUCAGCCUCUUCUAACUGUGGAGGUGGGGUGGGAAGGCUCGGAAUGGAGGUGGGAGCCCAGGGAGGGGGCCAGGCAAUGGCCCAGACAACAGCUGGGAAGACCUCGGGGAUGGAGCAGGGGGAGCGGACAGUAUGCCCCACAGCAGGGCCGCCCCACAUGGAGGCCAUGGGAGGAACGGGCUGGAGAGGUCGAGGCCGUGAGCAGGUUCCCCCGCACCCCGUGACCUUGCGAAGCUGGGUGUGUGGGGCCAUCCGCACACCCCCACCCCCUUCCCCGGCCCCCCUCCUC